GAAGGGGGCUAGCGUUGUUCGGAAUUACUGGGCGUAAAGCGCGUGCAGGCGGGCCGUUAAGUCGGGGGUGAAAGCCCAGAGCUCAACUCUUGAAUUGCCUUCGAUUCUGGCGGCCUGGAGCAUGAUAGAGGCAAGUGGAAUUGCGAGUGUAGAGGUGAAAUUCGCAGAUAUUCGCAGGAACACCGGUGGCGAAGGCGACUUGCUGGAUCAUUGCUGACGCUGAGACGCGAAAGCGUGGGGAGCAAACAGGAUUAGAUACCCCGGUAGUCCACGCUGUAAACGAUGAGAGCUAGUUGUCGGCAGGCAUGCCUGUCGGUGACGCAGCUAACGCAUUAAGCUCUCCGCCUGGGGAGUACGGUCGCAAGAUUA
rnacentral:rRNA from 1 species